UGUGAUUGAGUUUAUUGAAGUUUUCUAGACCAAUUUCUUGUUGCUUCUCUAGUGUUUAAUCUAGUGGGUAGUGACAGAA